CACUAUGAAUCGAUAUUGAGUUCAUUGACAGUUAUUUCACGCAUUCGGAAUUUUUGAAUUUUUCCUGUAACGGUUUUUGGAAAAUCUUCCCGGAACAAUAUGUACUUUGGUAUCUUGAAGUAGGCAACCUGGAAAAAAUUUCUAAGAUCACUUUCCGUCACCGCGCAGUUGGGUCGUAGACGCACCCACGCGCAAACUUCCUCACCCAAUCUAACGUCUGGAACACCUAUUACCUAUUUAUUCCGUGACACGCGAUAAAAGGUUAAAACGGAUACAGAAUUUAAUAAAAUAUUGUUACGUGCACUUCGGCGACUGCUGGAUGAGUAUGAAGUAACUCCUCAAUUUCGCGUGGAUAAACAUUCUCGCCUGAGCAACAAGUUUGUUUAUAAAAUUUUAACAUUUCAAACAGGCAGAAAAGUUUAAAAAAUGAAAUUUGUUUUACCGCCUCUUAUAAGCAUAUCUUUUGCUCUGCCAACGAUUUGCCCGUAACCAUUCUCGUCAAUGACGGCAAUAUCACUUUAAAUAAGAACAUUAACAAUUAGAUUUAUUUUUGGUAGCACAAGAAUUAAACUACUUGCCCGGUACGUAACCAACGAUCGGGCGAAAUAGUUUCCUUUGUUUUCUCCUCGUCAUCCCAGUAUUUCAACAUAGUCGAAUACCCUCGCGUGCACAGCUCACCUGGCGUAUUAACUGGGACGAUUUCUCCUUGCUCGUUAACUACCUUUACCUAAGUAAUAAUGCACUGUUGUUUCAUCUAAAAUUUACUUCACAACGAUUGUUUGGAAAAUCCCCUUUACCUCGGUAUAGUCACUAGGAAAGCCGAUGGUUGAAUGUCGGACUUCCAAAGGGUCGCUGGAAUAUCCAGAGAAAGUCACUGGGCUGGUCUCCGUCAUACCAUAUGCCACC